GUAACUGACAUUCUCGAACCAAAAGCAUUAUUGGACACUAAGUAGCCCAUAAUGUUCUACUCGUUGUCACCCUAACAGAAGUGACGAGAUGAACAUAUCUAGCUGGUUUCAUCCUCCUGUGGUAUUUUCAUACAGAAUAAAUGACGCUGCACAAUAAACUCUUUUACUUCUGUACAGAACGCUGUACUUCUGCCCUUUCAGAAGUAUUGUCAAUGUUAACUAUUCCAGAUUUACGGGUUAAUCUGGUUUAAUGCUGCAAAUGUUUGUAUCAAUUAUUAAAGUUCUCUGAUGUAACAUGCAUAUUAUUGUCUAAACGUAAAGCGAGAGGGAAAAUAAGACUCCUUCUUAGUUCAAAAGGUACAUAUGGCGUGUUUAGGUGGAAGCUAGCAGAGAAGUGUAUUAUGUGAGCAUGGAAGAGGAGGAGGGUUGGUAACAGGGACGGCGGCGCCACCUUCCACGUGGUCAUCACGUGGUUGUCCCCAUCACGCCACUAAGUCCCGCCCAUUACAUACUUGCUCCCCCACCAACCCCCCCUCCAACUGGUACUGGCGGGAACAUUAACACUGGUUACGUACCCAAGUUAAUCUCGCCUCACAAACACAUAACACAACUUUUUCCACUAAAUAAAGCAUUCGAGUACUAUAUGGAGUUCACAAUUUCCUCAGUUUGAAUUAAGUAUUAUAAAUGUCAAUGCAUCAAUACGUUACACAACCAUGUGUUCAGAGUUCGCAGUUAGACGUAACCCCCUUCUUGAGCGACCCGCGUUCCCCCUCCCCAAGCCGGUCUCUUAAGCCCCGCCUCGCGCCGGCCCCGCCCCCAAUAGUAUAUAUACCCCUCCGCGCACAAGAGACGAAUUUUAUCGAAUGUGCCGCCGACAAGUUUGGAUACAUGAUAAAGUUUGCUGUUUGUGUGUGGUGUGAGGGUGGGCCUCGGCCUGCCGUCCGCCUGUUGCAGGAACUGCUGCUGUAUCGCCGCCUUUGGGGAGGAGCAGCUGCCUACAUACUCAUCAUAUUUCCUCCACAGGCCCUUCAUACCACUCACCCACACCUGCAGGCCCGCUGGCACCCGCUGUGGCCUCUCCAGGUUCCUGGCGGUGAAGCAGCCGCUUCUACCCCUCCUUUAUAGCCACUUUCAGGGCAGACCAGUCAAGUUGAGGCCGUUAGUCGGUCUGCUUGUGGGUGCGGACCGUGGCAGGCGAUGGAGGUCGGCUCACCAGUGAUAAUAAAAAGGGCAUUUUCAUAGGACCAGUGUGCCAGGUGUGAGUGCUGGCACUCCGACAGGUCUUCGAAGCACGCCCCUCAGGACCUCUAAAAACGCCCCUCAGGUUUUCCAAGUACAGUAUGCUCUUGGGUCCUCCAAGUAUGCUCUCGGGUCCUCCAAACAUGGCCUCAGGUCCUCCAAGCACACUCUUGGGACCUUAAAACACACACUCAGGUCCUCAGAAGAGGAUCACUAUGACAUAAGAAGAUCGCCAAGACCACAAGAGGAUCACCAAGACAAAAUGAGGAUCACCAAGGCAAAAAGAGGAUCACCAAGCCAAAAGAGGAUCACCAAGACAGAAGAAGAGCAUCAAGACAGAAGAUCAUCAACACAGAAAUGGAUCACUAAGACAAAGGAGGCUCACUUGGACAAAAGACGAUCGUCCAAAACAAGAGAAACACCAAAAUAUAAGCCACCAUUUUGGGAUGUUCUGUAAUAUGCCAGUUCAUGGUGGCCAACCCGAAAACACAAACACACCAGAAAAACAAUUAUAUGCUUGUUACAAACAAUUAAAUGUCCCAACAAACUAGAAGUUGGUAUUAAUUUUAAUAAUAAUAAUUCUAAUAAUAAUAAUUCAUUUUGUUGGGUCAGGAAGCCUGUAUAUGUAUAUAUACUUUAGGCUUGUAAUGAGGUGCCUCCAAGGUUAAACUACUGACCCUUCCCAGGAUGCAACCCCAUAACAGUUGCCUGACUCUGAGGUACCUACUUAAUGCUAGGUGAACAGAUGCAUUAGGCAACAGGAAAUGUGCCCAACUAUUUCUGUUCCGUCCGGGAAUCGAACCUGGGACCCUCAAUUGUGAGUUGAGAACAAAACAGCUGUGAUCUUGUGGUAUAGUCCUUGGUAUAACUAUACCCAUACCCAGGUAAUGGAAAGUCAAGACCAUGUGAGGGGGGGGGGGUAUAUUGACUUUAAUCCCCAGAUGAUAUCACAUUUUUAGCGGAGUUAACCAAUCCAUUAUAAUGCGACUUAUUAGGUAAAGGGGACGCUGUCCACCAUAUUAACAUUUCAUUUGUUUUUUAUUAAACUUUCAAGAAAAUUCAAUAUUGUAAGGGAGUUCUAUGCCAUUCUAGAUCCACCUGAGGACUCGUAUGUGCCAUUGUGUACUAUACAUAUACUGUAUUUGCUAGUUCUCAAUGAAGAUGUUUGUAUAUGGUUUAGUAAUCAAGAAUGGGCUGUGUCAGUGAUUAUUUUAUGUACACAAUAACAAUGGUUUGCCAGCCACUAAGGACAACUUCGACCAUCAGGAAACAAAUGCAGAUCUCCCUUCUGGAUGGUUAACAUUUCAUCCCCCAAUGGUUAAAAUGGCUUAGGACUAUUCCUUCACUCUGCCCUCAAAACCCAGCUCCUUGACCUCCUAUCCAAGCUCAUUGGCCACAUUUCCCAGGUCUUUGUCCUCAUAUUCCAGGUCCUUGGCCUCAUAUCCAGCUCCAUCUGCACAUAUCCCAGUUCCUUGUCUAUAUAACCCACCUCACUGUCCUCAUAUCUCUUUCAGGUGAUAUAUUGGUUAUACCAGCUUAGUACUUUUGCCUGAUAGGUUAAUUAAGCUAAUGAAUAUCUGAAAAUAUUAAUAAAACUAAAUAAAACUUUACUGAGAAAAUCCACAGGAUUCUGAUGAGGAUCUGAACCCAGCACAUAGGUUUGAAUUCCCAUCAUGGCUCCUGUGGAUUUUCUCAUUGAUAUACUUAUCAUGUUACUGUGAUUUCUCUGUGUAUAAUAACUAUUAAUGACAAUAACGCACACAAAGACUUUAUUGACAUUGACAUUACUAGCAAAGACUUUGAUUUGAAGGACAACAGCACUCGGCAAGACUUUAUUGAUAACAGGACUCACACCAACUACUGUAUUGACAAAUGCACCACUCACAAAAAUUUAACUGAUGUCACCAGCACUCACAAAGUCUUUACUGAUGACAAUAGCACGUGGAAAGAUUUUAUUGAUGAUGACAUCUCACCAAGACUUAUUGAUGACACAGCACUCACUUAGGCUUUAUUAAUGAAAAUGCACUCAUAAAUACUUUACUGGUGACAACAGUACUCACAAAAACUUUAUUGGUGACAACAGCACUCACAAAUACUUUACUGGUGACAACAGCAAUCACAAAUACUUUACUGGUGACAACAGCACUCACAAAUACUUUACUGGUGACAACAGCGCUCACACAAACUUUAUUGACAAUGAUAGCAGUCACAAAAACUUGUCCAGCCUUAAUUAUCAACUCGGCUGCACUGCCUCAAAAACAAAACACUUAGCACUUGAGUUGUAUAUUUUAUGUUACGAUCGUCAGAAUAAACAAAACAGACCACGACAGCCUAAAGGUGGAAAGCACAGUGGGUUAGGUAAGGUAGACCAUGGGCAUGGGUUCAGUGUCUUGAGUGUUCUGUGUGACUGUGUCUGUCGCCGCCUACACGAUGGCUGUGGACUGACUACAAGACAGCACCAGACUGUACAAGAGGACACCAAACUGUGCAACACUGCUUCAGACUGUAGAACACUGUGCAAGACUAUAAUGCUGAACAAGACUGCACAACACUUCACCAAACUACACAACACUGCACAAAAUUGACUAACAUUAAACCAGACUGUACAACAGGGCACCAGACUGUACAACCUGGCCCAACUUUGUAAACAGCCAGAAGUUAACAACCAUAAUACAAGGUACUGGUAUCCUGGCCAGGGAGGAUUUACUUGUCAUCAAUCCUUAACUGUAGCCUCUGUUUACCCAACAGUAAAAUAGGUACCUGGUUGUUAAACGAUUUGGCGGGGUCGUAUUCCGGGGAACAUAGGAUUAAGGACUUGCCUGAAACGCUAUGCGUGCUAGUGGCUGUACAAGAAUGUAAGAACUCUUGUAUAUAUAAAUAAAUAAAAAAUACUGGAGUUCAUAUUGUGAGUUCUGGAGUCAACUGCAGCAUGUACCUCUGUAACAAACAUUCCAGAAUAUUUGCCAUGACAUCUGGCCUUCAAAAUAUAAGGUUGGGCCUGUUUGCUGCAGCUCUUUGGCUGUGAUAAAAUGUAACAUAAUAAUAAUAAAUGAAGUUGCAAAUGGCCUCUUGACCAUAUGAAACAGCUCUUAUUUAUAUUAACUCAAACUUGUUCAUAUACUGAUAAUGUUUAACCUAUGCUUGAAACACUCCAGUGAUCCUCUGUUAUGUUACCCAGUAACUUGUUCUAUAAAUCUACAAUUCUAUUUGCAUACCAGUAUUUACCUGGGAUGAAUCUAAACAUGUAUAAUUUAUAUCAUACAAACUUGAUAUCCACAUACAAACUUGAUAUCAUCCAAUGUAGUAAAUUUAAAUCCAUCAGGAAUAUGGUACAGUGGUACCUUCGUUUACGAUCGUAAUCCGUUCCCAGAGACGCAUCGUCAACCAAAACAAAUUUUCCCAUAAGAAAUAAUGCAAAUUGAAUAAGUCCGUUCCACACCCUCAAAAAUAUUAACUUAAAAAUACAUUUUAUACCGAAUAACACUUAUUUUGUACUAGCUACAAUAAAGUAUGUACUGUAUAUCUUACCUUGAA
rnacentral:lncRNA from 1 species